rnacentral:rRNA from 1 species
UGAGGAAUAUUGGUCAAUGGGCGAGAGCCUGAACCAGCCAAGUAGCGUGCAGGAUGACGGCCCUAUGGGUUGUAAACUGCUUUUAUGUGGGGAUAAAGUGCGUGACGUGUCAUGCAUUGCAGGUACCACAUGAAUAAGGACCGGCUAAUUCCGUGCCAGCAGCCGCGGUAAUACGGAAGGUCCGGGCGUUAUCCGGAUUUAUUUGGUUUAAAGGGAGCGUAGGCUGUCUAUUAAGCGUGUUGUGAAAUAUACCGGCUCAACCGGUGGCUUGCAGCGCGAACUGGUCGACUUGAGUAUGCAGGAAGUAGGCGGAAUUCAUGGUGUAGCGGUGAAAUGCUUAGAUAUCAUGACGAACUCCGAUUGCGCAGGCAGCUUACUGUAGCAUAACUGACGCUGAUGCUCGAAAGUGCGGGUAUCAAACAGG